CUAAUGCUACCGUUUCUAGAGCACUCACAUAGAACUAUGCAUAAGCUUAAGUCUUUCUACUUUGGACAACUUUCACCCACUACAAAUUUAGCAUAUUAAAUUGACUGGUCCAUGCCUAAGCAAAGUGCUAUUAGAACACGUAUAGUUGUAAUGGCUGGCCAAGAAGGCCCUACAAUUACAAGAACAAAAAGAAAAAGUGCUACUCAACAUGGUGGUUCGACAUUGCUUGAUCUUCUGCAGGCUCUAGAAGAUUAUUUGCCGGUUCUUUUGGGGUUAGUCAAUGAUGGAAGCCAUUUACAAUAUAAAGUAUAAUUUGUUUGGGUGAAUCAAGAGGAUGAUGCUGAGGUAACUCCAACCAUUUUUCAUAAUAUGUCUAAUGGUUGGUAUGAAGUGUUGUCAGUUUUACAUUUGAUGGCAAUGCUAUUACUAUUACAGGCUAAUUUUUUACUGCUUCCAAGAUCAUCCACUGAUGGUUAUCAGCUUAAGGUAUCUGAAGAAAGCAGACGAGCUUCUGUUGAUAUCUUCUUAAAGGCUGCUGGAUAUCUGGAUUGUGCUGUCAAACAUGUUCUUCCCCAGUUGCCGGCCGAACUCAGGAGGAAUUUACCAGUAGACUUAGCAGAAGGAACGCUUCGAGCACUCUCUCUACAGGCAUUAGGAUAUUGGCCAAGUGUAAUUUGUGACAUUCAUGUAACAUUGAGAUGGUCAUCUUAUUUUUUUUGGGUAUUUUUUUAUUAAGACAAUGAGAUAUUGGCCAAUGAUGUUGAAAAAUAACAUCCAAUUUUAUAGGUAUCAUGUAAUGAAUAUUAUGUUUAUUUAUGUGAUUUUUGGCUUUCUUUUUUCAA